GACAGAGGGUGCAAACGUUGCUCGGAAUCACUGGGCGUAAAGGGCGUGUAGGCGGGAAGGAAAGUCAGAUGUGAAAGCCCUGGGCUCAACCCAGGAACUGCAUUUGAAACUCCCUUUCUUGAGUGUCGGAGAGGAAAGCGGAAUUCCUGGUGUAGAGGUGAAAUGUGUUGAUAUCGGAAGGAACGCCGGUGGCGAAAGCGGCACACUGGAUCUCAACUGACGCUGAGGCACGAAAGCCAGGGGAGCGAACGGG
rnacentral:rRNA from 1 species